rnacentral:rRNA from 1 species
GCCCAGACUCCUACGGGAGGCAGCAGUGGGGAAUAUUGCACAAUGGGGGAAACCCUGAUGCAGCGACGCCGCGUGAGCGAAGAAGUAUUUCGGUAUGUAAAGCUCUAUCAGCAGGGAAGAAAUUGACGGUACCUGAGUAAGAAGCUCCGGCUAAAUACGUGCCAGCAGCCGCGGUAAUACGUAUGGAGCAAGCGUUAUCCGGAUUUACUGGGUGUAAAGGGAGCGUAGACGGCGACGCAAGUCUGGAGUGAAAGCUGGGGGCCCAACCCCGGGACUGCUCUGGAAACUGCGGCGCUGGAGUACGGGAGGGGCGGGCGGAAUUCCUGGUGUAGCGGUGAAAUGCGUAGAUAUCAGGAGGAACACCGGCGGCGAAGGCGGCCUGCUGGACCGUGACUGACGUUGAGGCUCGAAAGCGUGGGGAGCAAACAGGAUUAGAUACCCCAGUAC